rnacentral:lncRNA from 1 species
UUAUCAUCCAACGGUCUAGAACUUUACUCAUCUAACGGCCUUGAUUGCACAGGCCGAUAGUGUAAAUUUGGAUCCAAACACAACCAUAUAAUUUUUCCAUUAUAGCAUUUAUGAUUGAUGCUGAUGGGUACAUAAAAAAGCCACAAAUUUUGCAGAAGAUAACAUAAUCACAUGAAAUAAGGGACAUACACCAAUAAGUAAAAGUUCGAUGAGGUAGCACAUGAAAUAAAGGACAUACACCAAUAAGUAAAAGUUCGAUAAGGUAACCCUAGCCCACGCACAUCUUAUAUAUAUAAACACACAAACGUGAUUUGAUACGAACGAAACAGUCGUCAUAUCAAAUGUUUUUAUUAAUCACACACAUGCAGAUAGAUCGUGAUUGCAGCACACAGAUUAAUCACAGAUCAUAUACUUAAGCCUUAAGCCUUCUGUGUUUAUUUUGCAUCGGUGCUUGUAAGGUGAGCAUCAAUAUCUUUGGAGAGCUCAACUACAAACUGGAGCAAUGUAUGUGGAUCUUCAAUAUCGUCAUGGUGCUUCUCAUACUCCAUAGUCCAGUGCACGUUGCAUCCCUCGUCUUUCGGAGUUCCGUGGAUGGUGAUCUUGAAGCUCUUGUAAUGCUCCAUAAGAUCUCCUUCAAUCACUUUGAAAGUGAUCAGAUUAUUUUCAGCGUCUAUGGCUUCAAUCAACUCCUUAGCAACUUUGGCUUUUCCAUCUGCAUGCAUGAAAAUCUCACGUAAUUAAUAUGAUAUCACAAACUUGAGCUUAGUUAAUUUGGUUAGAACAAUGUAAGUUCAAAUCCACUCCUCAUAAAUUAGAUAAAUUUAGUAUAAAAAUGUCGCUUGUGUAUUUUAGGGUGGUACAUAUAUAUAAAAGAGUACUAUAGUCGAUAUUAAAUGAAGCAAGGUAGUUAGGAUCUUACCAUGGAAAUAAUUCCAGUAGACCACAGAUCCGACGGUUCCCCAGUCACCUUCAUGUAGGUCACAGCCCUGAAUGUUUCUAUUGCUGGCGUUGGAGAUGUGGUGUGGUUUGUGUGUGAACAUUUCAUGGAACUUGGCAGCAGAAGCCUUGAUUUCAACAUCGGUCUCCAGCUUACCACAAUCGCUAGACAUUUUCACCAAAAAACGGGUAUUUUCCAAAUAUUAUAGGAGGAAGUGUAGAGUUAUUUAGCCUAUAUAUAGAGUACUUAUUUGAAUAAAACUGAUUGGAAUCUUGCACUUAUAUAGACGGAGAAGGUGACCGCAUUAUAGCAACAAAUAAGACACAUGCUUAACAAUUGAGCUGAAAUAAUUGCCUCCACUCAGAUUAUGUUAUUAAUUUAGAAUAUAGUAGGUAAUAAAAGGAUUGAUUGGACAUGUCUAAUAUAACAGAUCAUAUAGAACUUUAACGAAAAACUCAUGAUACUGUUCACUUUAACGAAAAACCACAUUUUUACGCUAAAAAGUCAAUUCUAGUACUAUUCACUUUACCUUUUAUUUUGUCCUUAUCUUUAAAAAUCAAAGUUUUCAAGCUCUUUUCAUUAAUAUAUAUAGAGUAUAUACACAUCCAUUUUCACUUUUCACACACCCUUCUCAAUUUUCGGUCUUCAAAUCGAAUGAAUUGAAAAUGAUCAAAUGACUAAACUUAACAAAAGGUGUGUGAGAAGUGAAAAAUGAGUAUGUGGAUAGCACAUCCCUAUAUAUAUAUAGGGAUGUGCUAUUCACACACUCAUUUUUACUUCCCACACAUCAUUUGUUAGUUUCUAUCCGUUGAUUUUCUUUAAUUCAUCCGAUCCGACGACCAAAAAUUAGAAGAAUGUAUGAGAAGUAAAAAGAGGUGUGUGGAUAUCACACCCCAUAUAUAUAUAUAUAUGUGAAGAUAGAGAUAAAAAUAUAAUUUAGCAAAUUCAAUAAUUCAAAGAUCGAGACGGACGAGCUAACUCUCCAAAUUCCGUUGAAAUUCCUAUAACAAAAUAUAAAUCUUCAAUAUGGCAAUUGUGGCCGCAUAAUUUGUAAAAAGGGUAAAAAAUUGUUUACUACCCUCAUGUUUCGUAGUUUUUAACAUUUAGUACAUCAAGUUUUUUUCGUCGUCAUACCUAAAGUGUAAAUUUUUGGGACAGUCUCAUACAUCCGUUAGUCAAACUGUUAAGUCUCUUGUUAACUGUGACGUGGCGCCCAUGUGGACACUGACUGGGCGCCACGUGUCAUCCACGUGGAAAUUUAAAAUAAAUUAUUUAUAAAAUAAAUAAAUAUAUAUAUAAAAAAUAUAUAUAUAUAUAUAUAUUAAAAAAAUUUAAAAAAAACCUUCAUCUUCCCCAGAUUCGGAGGAAGAAGAAGAAGGAGAAGAAGGAGAAGAAGAAAGAGAAGAAUGGGAAGGAAGAAGGAGGAAGGAAGAAGGAAGAAGGAGAAGAAGGAGGAAGAAAAAAAAAAGUUGCACUCGGAGUAAGAAGAAGGAAGAAGAAGGAGGAAGAAGAAAAAAAAAAAAAAAUCUUUCCCAGAUUCGGAGGAAGGAGAAGGAAGAAGGAGGAAGAAAAAAAAAAAAAUCUUCCCCGGAUUCGGAGGAAGAAGAAGAAGAAGAAGAAGAAGAAGGAAGAAGGAGAAGAAGGAGGAAGGAAGAAGGAGAAGGAGGAAGAAAAAAAAAGUUGCAAUCCGAGAAAGAAGAAGAAAGAAGGAGGAAGAAGAAAAAAAAAAGAAAAAAGAAAAAAAGAAAAAACUGAAUUUGCAACCCAGAUUCGGAGGAAGAAGAAGAAGAAGAAGAAGAGGAGGAAGGAAGAAGGAGGAAGGAGAAGGAAGAAGGAGGAAGAAGAAAAAAAAAUCUUCUUAAGAAGAAGAAGAAGGAAGAAGGAGGAAGAAGAAGAAAGAAGAAAAAAAAAUCUUCCCCAGAUUCGGAGGAAGAAGAAGAAGAAGAAGGAGAAGGAAGAAAAAGGAAGAAGGAGAAGGAGGAAGGAAGAAGGAGAAGGAGGAAUGAAAAAAAAAAAUUGUAGUAAGAAGAAAAAGAAGAAGAAGAAGAAAGAAGAAAAAAAAAACGUGGAUGACACGUGGCGCCCAAUCAGUGUCCACAUGGGCGCCACGUCACAGUUAACAGGAGACUUAACAGUUUGACUAACGGAUGUAUAAGACUGUCCCAAAAUUUACACUUUAGGUAUGACUCUGAGACAAAAAAAACUUGAUGUACUAAAUGUUGAAAACCACGAAACAUGAGGGUAGUAAACAGUUUUUUACCCUUGUAAAAAAUCUUCUACAAGCAACAAGGAGAACUUUUGCAUUUGGAGCAAGAUACUGCUCUACUAAAGAUUUUAACCUCCAACACAUGAGGUGAAUAUACCGUAUUGUUCAUAAAGUAAAAACCUUUGUUCCCUGAGGUACCAUUUGGUACGCAGACGGGACGGGACGGAACAAAUAUUUCGUGUCAUGUUUGGUACUAGCAAGAUGGAACAAAACGGAACGGGGUUAAAUGACUAACUUACCCUUUUUAUUUGACUCUCCCUCUCUCUCCCGUUUCUCUGCUUUCUCUUCUUCCAUCCGUUUCGUGUUCUUCGCAUGCCCAGAUUGAUCCCAGUAAAAAUCAAUCUCAGUAAAACAAAUCCAUACUUUCUCUUCAUUUCAUUUUCUUUCUCUUCAAUUCAAACCCAUAUUUCUCUUUUUUUUUAAUUUCUUUCUCUUCAAACCAGACACAGAAAAAUCCCAAAUUAUUAUUUUAGGGAAAAACUAAUGAAAUCUUGAAAGUUCGUAUUCAAACAACCAUUUUUACUGUAAAACUUACAAAAUUAAACUAAAAAAGGUGAAAUUGAACAAAAUGCCCCGUUCUUAGCCUCCACCGGAUGCUCCUCAUUGAUGUGGCAGCAAAGCCCAACGACAUCAAAAUCCUCGGCGCAGAAAGGGCACAAAAACUCGGCCUUUAACUCAUCGUCUCUGUCAGUCUCUUCGUGCGAAAACAGAUCUGCACGACACCGGGAGAAGAAGGUGGAGCGCGGAGGUGAUGGCGCCAGAGAAGAAGGUUGAGCGCGGAGGUGACGGCGCCGGAGAAGAAGGUAGAGCACGAAGGGAGUGAACCGGAAGCCAUGGUUUGGGUUCAGAUGGAUUUACUGGGAUUGAAUUCAAAGAGAGGGAGGCUACGGGAGAGAGACAGUGGAAUUAAUGAAAAAGAUGAGGGGUAUUGUUGUCCAAAAAAUUAUAAAUUUGUGUUCCACGGGAUGGAACAACCCGUUCCAGGGGGGUAUGUGGAACCAAAAUUUAACCCAUUUUCGUUCCGUGGGACAGGCGUUCCACACAAUUUAAGUGCACCAAACGUGGGAUGGAACGCGUCCGUCUCACUUUGUUCCGUCUCGUCCCACAUACCAAACACACCCUGACAGAUACUGGUACAUGUUCAUCUCAUAUAAUUGAGCAAAUUAAAUAAUUUCAGUGGGGAGACAACAAUCAUGACGGGCGAGCUAAAUCUCCAAAUCGCAUUGAAAUUCAUAUAACAAAAGAUAAAUCUUCAAUAAGGCAGCCUCACCACAUAAUUUGUAGAAAAGCUACUACAAACGAAGAGGAACUUCUGCAUUUGGAGUAAGAUAACGCUCUACUAAAGAUUUUAACCUCCAAUAAAUGAAGUGAACUAUACCGUAUUGUUCACAAUUAAAAAUCUUUGCUCCCUGAUAUGGGUACGUAUAUGUACUCAUAUAUGAAAUUAUUGGGGACUGAAAAUUAAAUACAAGGUCCUGCCAUAGACAGCCUUGUGAUAUUCAACCCAUGUCCAGCGGCCUAUCUGAAUUCAAGGGUGAAUGAAACUAGAGUGGGAGAGUAAUGGCUCUGUCUCCUAUGGCCAAAGUAUUAAACACAAUUCGGUACAUAACAGGCUGUGAUGAUUAAUUGUUGUUGAUCUAACCACAAGUCACUACUCAUUACUGUUGAAGAUAGAAACCAUAUCAGCAGAAGAUUGUCUGUUAGAAAUGCUGUUAGUAGCUGUUAGAGUUUGUAAGAGUUUGUUAAGUCAGUUAACUCCAGCUUAAGACACAAGAAAGCCCAUGAGAGCUAUAUAAAGUUGUAGUAGUAUCCAUGUAAUUCGUUCAGAAGUAAUGCACUCAAAUAGUAUCUCUCUCAUCAAUUCCUUUCUUUUCUGCUUUCUCAUUCAUUUAAUCUUUCUCUGAGUUCUUCAUGUUCAUCUGUUAACAAUUAUAAUACUAAUUACAUUUCACAUAACAACAUCUAUGGAGAGGUUAUGUUCUAAUUUAGGUAUUAAACCAAGGAAAAUGCUAAUCCGACUCGCCAGAUAACAGCAUGUCAAAGAAGAAUAAACCACUUGCAGAGACUAUCCAUUAUCGUGCAUGCCUUAGCUAAUUAAUUAUCAUAUCCUGAUGGUGGUUUGUUCCAUAAUUUUCAAAGAUUUGCUGGAUAAUCCAAUUCCAUUUAAUAUUAAAAUUGUCAUCCAAUACUUGUUUCUUUGUUUAGAUAAGACAAAUUAAAAUUGACGUGCACUACAUACGUUUGCAAUAAUUUAUAGAGUAAUAUGUUAUAGAGAUCAUAUUUUGUAGAUUACAUGAUGUGGUGGUUGAUAAUUAAAUUCCUUAUUUAAAUCACUAAGAAAGAAAUCCAACAAUCAAGUGGUUUAUAAAUGGACAAGGAUUGCCUGCCCUCACACUUCCGGUACCCUCCCUCCUAUUUUGUGUGGUCACGGUUAAGCCACUUCAACAUUUUAUAUUAUUUUUUUUAUAGAGAUAAUAAGACAAAAAUGAAUAGUAAUAUAAAAUGUUGACGUGGUUUAACUGUGACCACACAAACAGGAGGGCACGGAAGGACACCGGAAGUGGGAUGGCAGACAAUCCUUGUCCUUUAUAAAUAUGAUUUUAAAAGGUGGUCUCCGUAGCAUUUUCCUAAUGAAAACACAUGUGUGUUGUGGAUGUAAAUUUCUUCCUCCUUGCUCUUUGACAAAAUUGCACUUACAAAACAAAUAACACCUUAGGUCAAGGUCAGGAGCCUCACGCGCCCACGAUAAAUGUGGGGGGCUUUGACCGAAGAACCUCCGAUGCCAAAGUUAGAAUUUUGAGGGAAAAUUGUUUAGAGAAUUUAAUAAGAGAAUUAGAAUUUGGUUUUGGAGAGAAAGAGGAUGUUUAUAUAGGGGUUUGGCCGACUCCUUUGGAUAGAGAUGGACCGGCCACUUGGAUAGCUUUGUGGGUGAAGUUCAUGAUUUGUGGUUAAUUAGCAAAUUAAUUGGAUAAUAAAUCAAUUAAUUAGCUAAUUAAUAUAAUAAAAAAAGAAUGAUUUGACGGUUACCUUGUGGAGAAGAUUUGAUGAGGAUAGAUGAAAUAGAUUAUAAAUUUUGGGCACUUUUUGACUUAAUUGAGGAAUAAUUGCCCACUACUCAUGCGUAGAAAUCCUGAUGUGCUUUGAAGGUAAUUUUAUCUUUUUACCUAAAAAUUCAUGUGUCGCCUCUUGAUUAUUUUGACUCCACUUGUAUCACUUUCUUAGCUAACUCGGCUGCUUUACUUCCCAGAUUUUUCUGCUGCCUCUUACAAAAUCGCCAGACACUCGAAGCAUAGCGCAGAGUAGUCAAACUAUUUGCAGAUUCCUCAUAGCAAGUGGAAUGGAUAAAAUCCUUGACAUUAUCCAGAUUGGAACCAAAAGGAAGCUGCUAAUUACACGUUCUUGUCAACUUGUCCGCACCGCAAGCAAGAUCUUCAUCGUCGUCGUCAUCACCAACUCAUCUAUUAAUCUCUAGGAGGCAUAGUUUAUUUGUACAUCAAUGUAUAGGCUUUGCAUUUUAAGUGACUCAUAUCUACUUACUAAACUACACGUUAAAUUCUUUAUUGCACAUUCAACUAUUGAAAUCAGCAAUGCAUCACCAACAUUAAUAUAUUAUAAAAUUUUAACCACACAUAAAAUUGUUUGCAAGCCAUUCGCCACAAAGCCUAUUUGGUACAAUCUCAAUAUUAACAUGCUCUAAGAGAUUAAUAAUAUUAUUUUUAUGUAAGUAUUUGGAAGGGAAGUUUUCAUGCCUUCUUGUCUUUUGCUUGUAUGCCUAGGAAUUUGUCAGCGGUGAGGUUUCUUACUUCAUUCCUCUUCUUUAUUUGUUUGGAAAGGUAUUUUUCCUUAAGGGUAGUGUUACAUUAAGAGGUAUAGCCUGCUAACGUAUAUGGGUCUUAUCUCUAUUGAAGAUAUGAUAUAAAUAGAUGGUAAGAAUAAUAUUUUUUGUAUUCUUAAAUAUAUAUGAAAGAAGGAGACUGAAAUAGUAUAAAAAGUGGAUCCAUAUGGAACCUAUGAAUAUAUCCUUUAAAAAAAAAGAGUAAGCUAGUAGCUUUGCCACAGUAGCUCACCCUUUCAGAGAUAGGAAGACUCAAAGGCAUUUCAGCCUCUCCUUGCCACCAUUUGUGAUUCACUAGCGUAAAAAAUUGAACUGAAGACGUGCCUUGUGAAAAACGGACCUAAAAUUUUCCCAAUGACUAGGCCACCCCGUGGUGGUUCUAUAAAAUAUAUUCAUAUAAAAUUAUAAAUUGUAACAUACGUAGCACAAAUGAUUUUGAAUUAAUGCUACACUUAUCACUUAUUUGUACAUUAUUUGUAUCAUCUCUCUAAUAGAGGUAUGGCUCCUCAACGGAUGUGAGUUCUAUUUCUAUUAAGAGAAUUCUCUCACCCACCUAAUCUCUCUCUCAUUUCCUCUCCUCCUAUUUGAACGGUUACGAUUAAGUUACGUCAACAUUUUAUAUUGAUCUUUUUAUAAAGACAAAAGGAUAAAAAGCAAAAUAUGAGAGGAUGUGAGGAAAGAUAAGAGAAGUAAAAGGGAAGAGACUCCUACUCCAAUAAGAUUAGCAUUUUUGGGAAAAUUUUGAGACUCCAUCUUUGAAGAUAAUUUUUUUUUUAAUACAUAAAAAAGACUAUGAUUGCUAAUUUUUAAUUCAGUAAAAAUAUUUUGGAUGACUCGAGGUGAGAGUCCUCCAUUCCAUUGUCUGGUAGCCCAGACCCAUCUGAGGGCCAUUUAGAAUUUCCGAUCCAGGCUUGCAUCUAGAAAGUGGGUUUUGAAUUGUUGGCCUAUCUGACUCGAAAAAAAUUUGUUAGACCGGCUAGGCCUUAAAUUGUUGGGCCGGUCCAUUUUCUUGUAUAUCAGGAAUGUUUUUCUUUUUAGUACAUUGUAAUCAAGAAGUUGAUUUCAUGGUUUGUUAAAAGUUUUGACAAGUUUAUAAAUAAAAGUAUGUCUUGCAGAAAACACUUGUGAGUAUAAGGCCUCGUUUGGUACGCCGUAUAGAGCAUCGGCUAUGACUAAUAAGAUGGAGCAGGUGUUUGGUGUCUGUAUGUAUUAAAUAAUUAUCAGAUUAAAUAAUCUGGCCCUACCAAUUUUAAACAGCUCAUCCGCUUAGUUGUACUCUCCAAAACUACGAUAUUAUUUAGUCGGGUUGCUCAGUCCUCUCUCGCGAUCCGCUCUCUCUGUCCCUCAAUCCACCACACACACCACCAAAUCUCGACACCAUGUCCUUAGUGAACCACAAGGCAUCGCUAAAGACCAGCCGAUGCCUCGUCGACGAUCGUAUCACUGAUGAAGUGAUGCCCUGAUAAUAGAUCUGAAGAGGAUGGUGAAAGAGAUGAUGAGUAGACUCUUUGUCUCUACAUCGGCUUCAUUUCAUCCUCCAAAAAAAGGUUUUAUAAACUUACCUAUGUUUUUGCGUUUAGAGUUUUUUCGAUUUGGAAAUGUGAGUAAAAUUGUGAGAAAUUCCAAACCACAGUAUCACCAAUGUGACUGGCCAUAAAAAACAACAUAACUCUAUUUUUUAGUAUAUACCACAUAGUAUUAUAGUCUAAUAAUAUUUCUAUUUACUUGCAAGCGAGUUUGAGUCAUUUAAUCAGAGAAAAUAGAGUUAGAGAGGAAGAAAGAAAGAAUUGCACUGAUAUUUCCUUGAUUAAUUCAAUGGUUACAAUGGUAUGCUUACUAUAUAGAUGAGUGCUAGGCUAACCACCUUAACCGACUCACUUCCUUACCAACAAUCCUAACUAAUUAUUCUAACAAUCACAUUCCUAACUGCCUUAUAUACUCUAACAUCGCCCCGCAAGCUCAUGGUGGUUCAAGCAUGAGAUUGUUACAAUUGGAGAGUAUAGGAUCUGGUCACUGCUGCACGCAUACCCUGCAAAAAGAAACCUCCUAGCAUCUGGAGCUCGUAUGUUACCAUUAUACCGUGUAUACCAUAGUACCCAAAUCAGCGUAGACUCGGUGCCCCCACCCUUAUCAUAAAUUCGCAUAUGGUAGCCUAACUGAAUAUCAAAUAUACAUCCACCAUUGCAUAACUGAAGUACAUAAAAUCCCCGAAACUCAUGUACAACAAUUUGAGUAGGAACACCAAUUUUCGUCUUGUUGUCAGCAUCAAAAUGAUAUUUCUGCGAACAAAUGGUAUGUGAUCUGCUAAUGUGUGAACUUUCUGCACCAACAGAACUAGGUAGCUGCUCCUCGGUUGCAAAGGAUCUUAAAUGACUCAAACCUAACAGUGCAUAGUGACCUUGUUCUUUACCUUUGCCACCAGAUUUCUUCUUACCUUGGUUGCUGGACAAAUCAAAUGAUGAUACAGAAGGUUGUUCCUUGGUAUUAACCAUCUUCUCAUCUUCAACUGCUGUCUUUUCCUCCACAUACCUUGUUUGGGACAAACUGUGAUAGUUCAUUAAAUCCAACUGUUGUUCUUGUUCUUGGUCCAGUUCUUGUUCUUGUUCUUGGUCCAGUUCUUGUUCUUGUUCUUGUUCCUUGAAGCUUCUUUCUGAGAAGUUUCUGUAAUAAUUAGGUAACACAUGAUUGCCAAUAGAUGGACUCUGAGAAUCACUGUCACCAAAUGCAACCAUGCCUUGGGCUUGGAAAGCAGAUUGUGAAGAAGUUUUUACAUUUAGACCUUCUCUUGCAUCCGUCAGGAAAUUUGUUGCAUUGGAAUUUCCAAGUGGCGAUAACUUGUGAGCUGAUGGAGAAUUCAGUUCACCAUCCUUGUUAUGACCAUAAAUUGACUGAUGUCCUGCCAUAACAGUUAUCUGUUGUGCAUCUAGAUCCCUCCUACUUGGAUCAGCCUCUUCAUUCUUCGUACCUUGCACUUGGUGUAGCCGGGAGUGGUCAUGACGAAAUCCAUGUGAAUGUUUUAAAGCAUGGCCAAGAAAUCCAAGAUUUCGUGCAGAGGGAGCCAGGCCAUUGCUGUCACUAUGAUGUAUUCCACCAAGAUCCCCUGUCUGUGAAGCAUCAAACGUCAUCUAUUCCUCCUGCUUCUCUUGUGCAGAAAUGAAGGCAAAAUCUGGAUUCCAAUCAGCAGAACAAUCCACAAUGGUUUCCUCAGCAAGCAAUUGUACGCGAAAGUCCUUAAGUGAAAUGAUAUUCUCACGCCCUCUGAGUACACAUUUAAAUGUGUUGUAUUUUGGAGGGAGUCCAUUCAGCGCAAAGACCACAAAGUCUUCAUCAGGAAAUGUAACACCAAGAAUAAAAAGUCCAUCCAUUGCUUCUUUAAGCCGUCGAAGAUAUUGGGAAACAGAAUCGGAUCCUUUCUUCAUGUUGUACAUAUCAAUCUUUAACUUGAUGAUACUAGUUCUUGUGACUGGUAAGAAAAAUUCGUCUUGAAGACGAACCCACAUCUCUUGAGAACUCUUGCUACCAAUCACACAAGAAAGUGCAGAUGAAGAAAGGGUUGCAGUAAGUAACAACAUCAAAGCAUGAUCAUGCAUUUUCCACACUUUAAAUUCAUCUAAUUCUGGUCUGGCAGAUGAUUCAGAUGUGAUUACAGAAUGUGUAGAUGUUGCCGCAUCCUGAGGAGGACAAGGAUUCGAUCCAUCAAUGAAUCCCAUAAUGCCAUGACCUUGUAGCAUCAUCUUCAUCAGAAAAUGCCACUGCAAGUAGUUAGUCUCAUCUAAUUUUACACAAGUAGAGGAAGAAACGGACGGAAUCAACGAUACAAUUGGGGAGUGCAAAAGUUGCAAUUGUGUAGCGGUAACCAUAACUUUUGUUGUAGAAAUGAACAACCCAGAUAGAGAUUUAGAAGAGAAACCCCAAAUUUGUUGCUGACAAAUCAAACUGGUUGAUCAGUUUUCUUUGAGAACAAAGAGCAAACACCUUGUGUGCACAACUUUGUUGAAUGUAGAAUGCAGAAAUGGGCAAUCGGAGAUGCCCAGAAAAACAGAGAAGACAUACCCAAUAUUUUCUGGUCAAUAUCUUCUAGUGAUCGGAGAUUGAACGAUCUUUAACUGAGCAGUAGUCACCAUUGUUGAUGUUGUAUAGAAUUCUUUCAUUGAGACAAUCUAUCGAACAAUUGGUAUGCAGAAACGAAGAACAAUUUCUUGAAGAUUCAUGGAGAUCGGAAGAAGCCAAUUGUUUUGUUUAUCACACAACAGAUUGCAAACUAGAGGGUAAAGAAGAGAAAGAAAUGCUUUGAUUGAGGUGCGGAAGCGCCAGGUCUAUUCGAGGCAAUGAUACCAUGUUAAGCAAUAUGCAGAAGGAGAAACAGAGAGAUCACAGAGGAAAAAGAAGAAGGAAUCAAAGAGAAUUUAGAGAGGAAGAAAGAAAGAAUUGCACUGAUAUUUCCUUGAUUAAUUCAAUGGUUACAAUGGUAUGCUUACUAUAUAGAUGAGUGCUAGGCUAACCACCUUAACCGACUCACUUCCUUACCAACAAUCCUAACUAAUUAUUCUAACAAUCACAUUCCAAACUGCCUUAUAUACUCUAACAUUUUUUAGUAUAUACCACAUAGUAUUAUAGUCUAAUAAUAUUUCUAUUUACUUGCAAGCGAGUUUGAUAUCAAUUUAUUCCUCUAUUUUUUAAUGUAAAUAUUGUAUCAAAAACUCUACUUUUUAAUAUAUUUUGCACACCAAACCUAGGGGUGGCUAGGGUGUGCUCCAGCCCAUCCCAACCUACAAAAUGUCCUACCUUUAACCUACUCUUAAACUACCAUCCUCCCACUUAAAUGGCUCAUCCCUACCCCAGAUUUUGGGCUGAAUCCGCGCCUCACUAUAUCAAACAAUUGAAAGAAAAGAAAAAGAGGUUGAUCAACUAUAUAAUUUUUUCAUUUUAGCAUUUAUGAUUGAGGCUGAUGGGUACAUAAAAAGGCCACAAAUUUUGCAGAAGAUAAAAUAAUCACAUGAAAUAAAGGUCAUACACCAAUGAGUAAAUGUUCGAUGAGGUAGCCCUAGCCCACGCACAUCUUAUAUAUAUAAACACACAAACAUGAUUUGAUACGAACGAAACAGUCGUCAUAUCAAAUGUUUUUAUUAAUCACACACAC